GGGGCGUAGCCAAGCGGUAAGGCAACGGGUUUUGGUCCCGCUAUUCGGAGGUUCGAAUCCUUCCGUCCCAG
rnacentral:tRNA from 1 species